rnacentral:rRNA from 1 species
GUGGAUUAGAUACCCUGGUAGUCCACGCCCUAAACGAUGAAUACUCGCUGUUAGCGAUACACAGUUAGCGGCUAAGCGAAAGCGUUAAGUAUUCCACCUGGGGAGUACGGUCGCAAGAUUGAAACUCAAAGGAAUUGACGGGGGCCCGCACAAGCGGAGGAGCAUGUGGUUUAAUUCGAUGAUACGCGAGGAACCUUACCCGGGCUUGAAAGUUAGUGAAUGAUUUAGAGAUAGAUCAGUGAGCAAUCACACGAAACUAGGUGCUGCACGCUUGUCGUCAACU